rnacentral:lncRNA from 1 species
UAAAGAGUCCCACAUUGGAAAGUUGAGAAACCUAGCAAGGGUUUAUAAGGAGUUGGGUUACUCCCCCCAUUGCCAAUUGGUUUUGGGGUGGAACCUCAACUUCCUUCAUGGUAUCAGAGCAAGGCUUCACGUGUUGAGCCCAACAGCCACACGUGCUCCCACGUCACCCAAUAUGUGUUGUCCACGUGUUAGGCUUGAAAGUUCGCCACACGUGCGGGGGCGUGUUGAGAGUGUUUGUCCCACAUUGAAAUGUUAAGGGACCUAGCCUGGGUUUAUAAGGAGUUGG